AAUCAACGCUGGCGGCGUGCCUAACACAUGCAAGUCGAACGAGAAAGUGGGGGCGACCCUGCGAGUACAGUGGCAGACGGGUGAGUAACACGUGAACAACCUACCCUUGAGUGGGGAAUAACACCGCGAAAGCGGUGCUAAUACCGCAUAACAUCUUUGGGUUGCAUGAUCUGAAGAUCAAAAGCGCAAGUUGCUUGAGGAGGGGUUCGCGGCUGAUUAGCUAGUUGGUGAGGUAACGGCCCACCAAGGCUACGAUCAGUAGCCGGCCUGAGAGGGUGAACGGCCACACUGGAACUGAGACACGGUCCAGACUCCUACGGGAGGCAGCAGUGGGGAAUUUUGCGCAAUGGGCGAAAGCCUGACGCAGCAACGCCGCGUGGAGGAUGAAGGCCUUCGGGUCGUAAACUCCUGUCGAUGGGGACGAAAGCCUCGAGAGAGGUAUGACUGUACCCGUUGAGGAAGCCACGGCUAACUCCGUGCCAGC
rnacentral:rRNA from 1 species